UACGAAGGGGGCUAGCGUUGUUCGGAAUUACUGGGCGUAAAGGGCGCGUAGGCGGUGUGUCAAGUCAGGCGUGAAAGCCCCGGGCUCAACCUGGGAACCGCGCUUGAGACUGGCACGCUCGAGUUCGGGAGAGGAUGGUGGAAUUCCCAGUGUAGAGGUGAAAUUCGUAGAUAUUGGGAAGAACACCGGUGGCGAAGGCGGCCAACUGGACCACAACUGACGCUGAGGCGCGAAAGCGUGGGGAGCAAACAGG
rnacentral:rRNA from 1 species